GUCGGGAUAGCUCAGCUGGUAGAGCAGAGUCUGAAAAUCCUCGUGUCACCAGUUCAAAU
rnacentral:tRNA from 1 species